CCGACUCUGUUGCCUCCGGGGCGACCCUGCCUUCGGGCGGGGGCUCCGGGUGGACACUUCAAACUCUUGCGUAACUUUGCAGUCUGAGUAAACUUAAUUAAUAAAUUAAAACUUUUAACAACGGAUCUCUUGGUUCUGGCAUCGAUGAAGAACGCAGCGAAAUGCGAUAAGUAAUGUGAAUUGCAGAAUUCAGUGAAUCAUCGAAUCUUUGAACGCACAUUGCGCCCCCUGGUAUUCCGGGGGGCAUGCCUGUUCGAGCGUCAUUUCACCACUCAAGCCUCGCUUGGUAUUGGGCAACGCGGUCCGCCGCGUGCCUCAAAUCGACCGGCUGGGUCUUCUGUCCCCUAAGCGUUGUGGAAACUAUUCGCUAAAGGGUGCUCGGGAGGCUACGCCGUAAAACAAACCCAUUUCUAAGGUUGACCUCGGAUCAGGUAGGGAUACCCGCUGAACUUAAGCAUAUC
rnacentral:rRNA from 1 species